rnacentral:ncRNA from 1 species
ACAUCAGCGAUGAAAAGAAUAAGUAAUAACGGACAUCACGUUCAGACAGAAAGCAGCCGGGUGAUGAGAGGCGCAUGGACCGUUUGUUAUGAAUACCUCUUGGAGCUUCACACUGAACAGAUCAAGUAGGCUGUGACGGAGUAGAUACACGUUAUCGUAUCUGAGUAUUAUGUUUUGUUCAUCAGGAGAGGAUGAGACACUGAUACUUACUGAGACAGAUGAUGCGAGUCGUCUGUGAAAAAAGGUGGUACCGCAGGAUUUACUCCUGCCCUUUCU